CUCCUCUCAGCGUUGCACCUGGAGAGUUUCCAGGAUUCUACCAGUCUCAGCUACAGCAGGGAGAGUCAAGCAGAGGCAUACUCAUUCCACUUCUAGCUUGGCCAGUGGCUAGUGAAUGGAAGGCAAUCUGCUGCAAGU
rnacentral:snoRNA from 1 species